rnacentral:rRNA from 1 species
UACGGAGGGUGUAAGCGUUAUCCGGAUUCACUGGGUUUAAAGGGUGCGUAGGAGGGCAGGUAAGUCAGUGGUGAAAUCCCCGAGCUUAACUUGGGAACUGCCGUUGAUACUAUCUGUCUUGAAUACCGUGGAGGUGAGCGGAAUAUGUCAUGUAGCGGUGAAAUGCUUAGAUAUGACAUAGAACACCAAUUGCGAAGGCAGCUCGCUACACGAAUAUUGACUCUGAGGCACGAAAGCGUGGGGAUCAAACAGG